UGUCCUGUUGUGUAAUUGGCAACACGUCUGACUCUGGAUCAGAAGAUUCUAGGUUCGAAUCCUUGCAGGACAA
rnacentral:tRNA from 1 species